rnacentral:rRNA from 1 species
UGAAUACGAGACGCUAAGGCGUCGAAGUAGUGUAUGUCAUACUUCCAAGAAAAGCUUGCACUGUCAUAAGUAAAAAAUGCCUGUACCAUAACCGACACAGGUGGGUAGGUAGAGUAUACUAAGGGGCGCGAGAUAACUCUCUCUAAGGAACUCGGCAAAAUAACUCCGUAACUUCGGGAGAAGGAGUACCUUAUUCUAUAAGGUUGCAAUAACAAGAUCCAAGCAACUGUUUAUCAAAAACACAGGUCUCCGCUAAGUCGUAAGACGAUGUAUGGGGGCUGACGCCUGCCCAGUGCCAGAAGGUUAAAGAAGUCGGUUAGCAUUAGCGAAGCUGGUAACUGAAGCCCUGGUGAACGGCGGCCGUAACUAUAACGGUCCUAAGGUAGCGAAAUUCCUUGUCGGGUAAGUUCCGACCCGCACGAAAGGCGUAAUGAUUUGGAUACUGUCUCGGAGAGGGGCUCGGUGAAAUAGACUUGUCUGUGAAGAUGCGGACUACCUGCACCAGGACAGAAAGACCCUAUGAAGCUUUACUGUAACUUGAAAUUGAAAUUGGACUUUAUUCGCGCAGUAUAGGUGGGAGGUGUUGAUUAUAAUCUUGCGGGAUUAUUGGAGCCAUCAGUGAGAUACCACUCUUGUAAUGUUAGAUUUCUAACUUUGAAUCAUUAUCUGGUCAAAGGACAGUUUCAGGCGGGCAGUUUGACUGGGGCGGUCGCCUCCCAAACGGUAACGGAGGCGUACAAAGGUUUCCUCUGAACGGGUAGAAAUCGUAUCUAGAGUGUAAAGGCAUAAGGAAGCUUGACUGUGAGACCUACAAGUCGAACAGGGACGAAAGUCGGUCUUAGUGAUCUGACGGUACUGAGUGGAAAGGCCGUCACUCAACGGAUAAAAGUUACUCUAGGAUAACAGGCUGAUCUCCCCCAAGAGUUCACAUCGACGGGGAGGUUUGGCACCUCGAUGUCGGCUCAUCGCAUCCUGGGGCGGUAGUACGUCCCAAGGGUUGGGCUGUUCGCCCAUGAAAGCGGUACGCGAGCUGGGUUCAGAACGUCGUGAGACAGUUCGGUCCAUAUCCGGUGUAGGCGUUAGAAUAUUGAGAGGAGCCUUCUUUAGUACGAGAGGACCGAGAAGGACAUACCUCUGGUGUACCAGUUAUCGUGCCAACGGUAAACGCUGGGUAGCUAUGUAUGGAGUGGAUAACCGCUGAAAGCACCUAAGUGGGAAGCCCACCUCAAGAUGAGUGCUCUCACAGGGUUAACCUGGUAAGGUCACGGGAAGACCACCCGUU